AGACAACAACACCUAUUUCACAAGAUAGCAAGGAAAUGAGAUUAUGUAUAUAUCUCAUAAUCUCAUUUCCUUGCUAUCUUGUGAAAUAGGUGUUGUUAUCU
rnacentral:pre_miRNA from 1 species